CAAAUCUAUCUUUUCUCUUUCUUGCAGGUGCUCAGGGAAGUAAGGAAAAGUUUUAUCUCUGGGAUUGUGGUUGAAAUGUGCUACAGAAAUUUCAGAAAGAAAACCACUAGAGUUUCUCUGACCAUCAGCUCCCCAGCAAAUGAAACCUCCAACAACAGAUCAAGUUAUUCUACCUUAGUUCAACCACUGUAUAUUAAUACCUGGAGGAUGCAGAGUCCCUGCAGCAGCCUGUCAGGAUCCACUUGUGUAAUACCCUCUGUGUUUACCAAGGUAACUCCUCCAUAUUGCAUGAUGGAGUUUAGAUUUUAUAAAUAAGUUGUAGACAUUAGUGAAGCAGUGAGAAGAAAAAAAGGGGAAACCAGAAAGGAUUUCAGAGAUUAUUAUCAUGUUAUACAUGAGAAA